rnacentral:rRNA from 3 species
AUGAUUUUAAAUAAUUAAAUGGCUGCGGUAUAAUUGACUGUACAAAGGUAGCAUAAUCAAUUGUUUUUUAAUUAAAAACUGGAAUGAAAGAGUUAAUGAGAUAUACACUGUCUCAUAUAUAUUAAAUUAAUUUAAAUUUUUAGUUAAAAUGCUAAAAUUAAUUUAUGGGACGAUAAGACCCUAUAGAAUUUUAUAUUAAUAUUUUAAUUAUAAUUUUAUUAUUGAAUAUUAAUAUUUUGUUGGGAGGAUAGGUAAAUUUAUUAAACUUUAUUUUAAAUAUUAACUUUAAUUAAAGAAUAUAUUUUGAUCUUUUAGUAAAAAUGAAAAGAGUAAAUUACCUUAGGGAUAACAGCGUAAUAUCUUUUUAAAGAUCUUAUUGAAAAAGAUGAUUGCGACCUCGAUGUUGAAUUAAGAUAAAUUUUAAAUGAAGAAAUUUAAUAAUUAAGUCUGUU